rnacentral:rRNA from 1 species
AGAGUUUGAUCAUGGCUCAGAACGGAACGCUGGCGGCGUGCUUAACACAAUGCAAAGUCGAACGCGAAAGGGACUUCGGUCCCGAGUAGAGUGGGCGCACGGGUGAGUAACGCGUAAGUAAUCUACCCCUGUAUCUGGAAAUAACCCACCGAAAGGUGAGCUAAUACCGGAUACGUUUAUCUUGAUGCGAAUGAUGAUAAAGAAAGGUGGACUCUUCAUGAAAGCUACCGUACAGGGACGAGCUUGCGUACCAUUAGCUGGUUGGUAGGGUAAUGGCCUACCAAGGCGACGAUGGUUAGCGGGUCUGAGAGGAUGAUCCGCCACACUGGAACUGAAACACGGACCAGACUCCUACGGGAGGCAGCAGUGAGGAAUAUUGCGCAAUGGGGGCAACCCUGACGCAGCGACGCCGCGUGGACGAUGAAGGCCCUUGGGUCGUAAAAUCCUGUCAGAGGAAAGAAAUGUACAGGUGUUAAUAUCGCCUGUAUUUGACGGUACCAUCAAAGGAAGCACCGGCUAACUCCGUGCCAACAGCCGCGGUAAUAC